CAGUAGCCGCGGUAAUACGUAGGGUGCAAGCGUUAAUCGGAAUUACUGGGCGUAAAGCGUGCGCAGGCGGUUUGUUAAGACAGAUGUGAAAUCCCCGGGCUCAACCUGGGAACUGCAUUUGUGACUGGCAAGCUAGAGUGUGUCAGAGGAUGGUGGAAUUCCCGGUGUAGCGGUGAAAUGCGUAGAGAUCGGGAGGAACAUCAGUGGCGAAGGCGGCCAUCUGGGACAACACUGACGCUGAGGCACGAAAGCGUGGGGAGCAAACAGGAUUAGAUACCCCAGUAGUCCCUGUCUCUUAUAA
rnacentral:rRNA from 1 species